AACCCAAGCGCUGCGGUGGCGGUGCCCGGCCGGAAGGCUGCACACCGACAUGGCGGCGGGCCGGGGCGGGUUGCGGCUCGGCGCUGCCUGGAAGGCGGUGCUGGGGAGAAGACCGGAAGGCAUCGUGCCCGCGCCAUGGGCUCGGCACAAGUUCACCAAAUCGAGAAUUCCCGAGUCGGUAUUUCAGCCACGGCCUGGAGAUCAUGAGAAGUAUGGAGGUGACCCCGAGCAGCCCCACAAAGUUCAUAUUGUUACUAGGAUCAAAAGUGUAAUCGGCCGCCCAUAUUGGGAGAAGAAGAUCAUACAUGAUCUUGGACUGGAUAAGGCGCAUCAACCAAGACUGCACAAAAAUAUCCCUUCUGUGAAUUCCAGACUGAAAGUUGUUAAACAUCUGAUAAGAAUACAGCCGUUGAAACUACCAUAUGGGUUGCCAACAGAAGAGGAAAUGGCAGACACCUUUCUUACAAGCAAGGGAGAGCUUAUCAUUAAACAGCGUCUGAAACCCGUGGAGCAGGAAGAAAUUAAGUCAUGAGAGGAUGGUGAGGCCAAGAUGUAUGGAUGGGGCUCUGAGCAUUCUGAUCUAGUGGAAGAUCCCUGCCCGUGGCAGGUGGAUAAAGGUCCCGUUCAGCAAUCUUUCUCGAAGCUUGAACUCCUGUAACGAAAACAAAAAGAUGUCUCAUCUCAGAAAGGAGGUAGACCUUGCCUAUAAGGUUAUGCAUUUUGAAAAUACAAAGGACUUGAAAUUAUUGUGCUUCUGUGGAAGAGAGCAAUCCAACUGAAGUGUAAGACUCACCACAGUAGUUUAAGCCCUCCGGUUUUGCAGUUUUGCAUGAAGCACCCGUGGUAUCGAUUCUGUUUACAUUGCCAUAGCAAUCCGUGCGGGCCUGGCACAUACCUGAAAAUGUUGUAUGAAAAGACGUAAGCGUCCUGCACUCUGCAUCCUGCACUUUGCAACUUGCACCCUGCGCCUUGUGUCCUGCACCCACCCACCCCUCAGAGCUAACCUCUUCUUCAGCAAGACUUGCAGGAGAAGUGAGCACCUUAUGUCCCAACACAAUUUGAUAACAAUUGAGAUUUGGGAAGGGGAGAUGGGGAGGUAUGUUAAUCUAGGGCUGCUCAAGGGAUGAACGCAGAGGGGCAGCAGGAUGCUGACUUACCCAGGAGGGCGGUGAAGCCCAGCAGCGUGAGCACCAGGUGCAUGGGGUCGUUCUUCCGAGCACGCAAAACAAUCUGGAAAAUCAAUCAGCAAACGUGAAGGAAUGAUCCUGUCUCAGUGCUCACUGAUUUAACACAAAUAAACCAUUUCUGAAUUGAUGGCUUAUGUCUCUCGGUUGGAUACACAAAGUGAUAUAGAAGUGCAGUCACGUCUCUCUUCUGGCACAAACCAAGCUGCAAUGCUUCCAGCCCACGUCUUCAGCAACAUCUUAGUAACCAACCUCCAGCUCCAAUAUUUAGUUGAUGAAAAAUCAAAUAAAGAAUAAAAUGAA